AGAGAGUUUAUUGUACAGUCUGUAGAGCACUGGGUUAACGGGUGCCUGCAGACCAGUGGUACAGUUGAAAGAGAGAGUUUAUUGUACAGUCUGUAGAGCACUGGGUUAACGGGUGCCUGCUGACCAGUGGUACAGUUGAAAGAGAGAGUUUAUUGUACAGUCUGUAGAGCACUGGGUUAACGGGUGCCUGCUGACCAGUGGUACAGUUGAGAGAGAGAGUUUAUUGUACAGUCUGUAGAGCACUGGGUUAACGGGUGCCUGCUGACCAGUGGUACAGUUGAAAGAGAGAGUUUAUUGUACAGUCUGUAGAGCACUGGGUUAACGGGUGCCUGCAGACCAGUGGUACAGUUGAAAGAGAGAGUUUAUUGUACAGUCUGUAGAGCACUGGGUUAACGGGUGCCUGCUGACCAGUGGUACAGUUGAAAGAGAGAGUUUAUUGUACAGUCUGUAGAGCACUGGGUUAACGGGUGCCUGCUGACCAGUGGUACAGUUGAAAGAGAGAGUUUAUUGUACAGUCUGUAGAGCACUGGGUUAACGGGUGCCUGCUGACCAGUGGUACAGUUGAAAGAGAGAGUUUAUUGUACAGUCUGUAGAGCACUGGGUUAACGGGUGCCUGCAGACCAGUGGUACAGUUGAAAGAGAGAGUUUAUUGUACAGUCUGUAGAGCACUGGGUUAACGGGUGCCUGCUGACCAGUGGUACAGUUGAAAGAGAGAGUUUAUUGUACAGUCUGUAGAGCACUGGGUUAACGGGUGCCUGCAGACCAGUGGUACAGUUGAAAGAGAGAGUUUAUUGUACAGUCUGUAGAGCACUGGGUUAACGGGUGCCUGCAGACCAGUGGUACAGUUGAAAGAGAGAGUUUAUUGUACAGUCUGUAGAGCACUGGGUUAACGGGUGCCUGCUGACCAGUGGUACAGUUGAAAGAGAGAGUUUAUUGUACAGUCUGUAGAGCACUGGGUUAACGGGUGCCUGCUGACCAGUGGUACAGUUGAGAGAGAGAGAGUUUAUUGUACAGUCUGUAGAGCACUGGGUUAACGGGUGCCUGCUGACCAGUGGUACAGUUGAAAGAGAGAGUUUAUUGUACAGUCUGUAGAGCACUGGGUUAACGGGUGCCUGCAGACCAGUGGUACAGUUGAAAGAGAGAGUUUAUUGUACAGUCUGUAGAGCACUGGGUUAACGGGUGCCUGCUGACCAGUGGUACAGUUGAAAGAGAGAGUUUAUUGUACAGUCUGUAGAGCACUGGGUUAACGGGUGCCUGCUGACCAGUGGUACAGUUGAAAGAGAGAGUUUAUUGUACAGUCUGUAGAGCACUGGGUUAACGGGUGCCUGCAGACCAGUGGUACAGUUGAAAUGAACGCAACACCUUGUUAACAUUUAUUUUUGACUGCAGGAAAUUGGGCCCAUUCUUUUUCCUUGAAUAACUUCCACGCUCGGGUUGAGCAUGAGCUCCUAAUGUCCACGCUUCCUCCUCUCUGCUCCCUCUGAGUGGGUUCGUUGUUAAUGAGACAGACUCUGCCCUUGAUUAAAUCCUCACAUUAUCACUGGAGCUUUAGCGUCCCAAAUGGCACCCUAUUCCCUACAUCGUGCACUACUUCCCUCUGGGCCCUGGUCAAAAGAAGUGCACUAUGUAGUGAAUAGGAUGCCAUUUGGGACGCACUCACAUUUAGAAUAGAACAGAGCGAGGCCAAAGGGGGUCGGUACGUCUUGAAAUAAACAACUAAUGUACUGCCCUGUGUUGUUAGCUUGUUGUCAUUUCCUGCUCUGCCUAGCAGGAAGAGCUUCAGGAGGGAGAAGCAGCUCUUUAUAGGAUUGCUGCUCUACCUAGCAGGAAGAGCUUCAGGAGGGAGAAGCAGCUCUUUAUA